GACGAACGCUGGCGGCGUGCUUAACACAUGCAAGUCGAACGAAGGGCGAUGGAGGCUUGCUUCUAUCAAUCUUAGUGGCGCACGGGUGAGUAACGCGCAAUCAACCUUCCCUUUAGGGGGGGACAACAGUAGGAAACGACUGCUUAUAACGCAUACGAUCUAAUCUCGGCAUCGAGGAGAGAUUAAAGGUGGCCUCUACAUGUAAGCCCUCACUGGAGGAGGGGAUUGCGCGUGGUUAGGUAGUUGGAGGGGGAAGGGCCCCCCAAGGCGAUGAUCAGUAGCCGGUCUGAGGGGAUGGACCGCCACAAUGGGACUGGGACCAGGCCCAGACUUCUACGGGAAGCAGCAGUGGGGGAACUUCCGCAAAUGGCGGAAGGCUGACGGAGCCACGCCCCGUUGGGGGUGACGGGCUUCGGGUUGGAAAGGUCUUUUUAUCGGGACGAAAGGCCUUCUUGCGAAUAGUGAGAAGGAUUGACGGUACCGGAAUAGAAAGCCACGGCUAACUACGUG
rnacentral:rRNA from 1 species